rnacentral:tRNA from 1 species
GGGCUCGUGAUGCAAUUGGUAGCAUAACAGGUUUUUACCCUGGAGGUUGGGAGUUCGAUUCUCUCCGGGCCCA